UACGGAGGAUGCGAGCGUUAUCCGGAUUUAUUGGGUUCAAAGGGUGCGUAGGCGGGAUGCCAAGUCAGCGGUAAAAAUGCGGUGCUCAACCUGCGUCCGCCGUUGAAACUGGCGUUCUUGAGUGGGCGAGAAGUACGCGGAAUGCGUGGUGUAGCGGUGAAAUGCAUAGAUAUCACGCAGAACCCCGAUUGCGAAGGCAGCGUACCGGCGCCCGACUGACGCUGAAGCACGAAAGCGUGGGUAUCGAACAGG
rnacentral:rRNA from 1 species